rnacentral:lncRNA from 1 species
CCCCCUCCUGUACGGCCGCUACUCUGCGCCCGGCUUCCUUCUCACAACCUGGUUCUGCCCACACCUGUUCUUCAGCCCUGUGAACAGUGGCUGUAGAACAGUCUCAGGCCCUGCAGACCCACCUCCCUCGCUCCCGUGGUGGCGGUGGUGACGGGCUGGGGACGUUGGGUAGAAAAAUGGGCGGGAUGUGGAACGCUGCGUUGCCGGGGCCCACUUCCGGAGGACGGGCGGAAGUGGCUGCGGUGGAUGGUGGGAGGGGGGAAGGAGUGCGAGGGGAGGGCCGGGCCGCUGGGGGUCGAGGGGGUGGGGCCUGGGCCAGCGCUGGGGAUCGGGCCUGGGGCCUGGAUUGCGACCCGCGGCGGGCCGCGGCUCCUAGCCGAGACGGGGCGGGCGGGAACCAGGUUAACACAGAAAUCUGCCUCCUGGGCCAUGCCGCUUCUAAGGCCUGUUUCUUCUCAUGAGCC